CAAAACCAAGAACACUCAUCUUGGAGGAAUUUGGAUUGCAAAAAUCAAAUGCAUUCCAUCUUGUGAUUGUACUUUUGACCCAGGAGUUAUAUGGUUUGAUUGUGAUCCGAUUUAUGAGAAGAAAAUUCAAUUUUGAUUCUCUCAAUGUAAGAUAAUCCAAAACAUAAAGAUUCUUAAAUUUAUUUUUCAACAUUGGUGUCAGAGCAUCUUAUGAUCGAAUCCC
rnacentral:lncRNA from 1 species